ACAUUUUGAGAACCGAAGCCCAGUGCUGCCCUGUUGCAGCUAUGAAGUAUCCAGGUCACCUGGAGAAAGUUGACAUAAGAGCAGGCACACAGCAGUAAGCUUUGAUCCGCAUCUUCUCUCUGGCUGCAGCCCUCAGCAACACUAUGGACGAGUGGGCAACUGGCUCUUCAGGCUUGGAACCAAGAGGGGGCAGCAGAGAGCAGAGAAGAAUUGGUUGGCUUGGGCUGACCCAGACCUAGGAAAACUUCCAAUCUUCUUCUUCUUCCCUCAAAACCGAAUCCUUGUGGACUCACUCCUGAGACUAUUGUCCCCACAAGUGGUGUGGUCCAAGGCCACAGCAAGAAAGGUCUGAGGGAGUUCUUUGGGGUUCAGGUGGAGAAAAGCCUGUGCUGGAUGCCAGGCUGCUCUGAAAACAGAAAGGAAGAUAAUAAUGUUAACAGCAAC
rnacentral:lncRNA from 1 species